CAUUCGAUCUCCCACCCAAACCGCGCGCGCUCUCUGCCUCUUUGGACUUAUCACCAAAAUCGUGUUCCCUCCCUUGGCUGAAAAAUUAGGUCAUAUUCUCCCACCCAAAAUCGCUCUCAGCCUCUCUGACUCACCAAAAUCGUGUUCCCUCCCUUAGCUAAAAAAUUAGGUCAUUCUCCCACCCAAAAUCGCUCUCAGCCUUUCUCUUACUCACCAUUGCUCUCAGCCUCGUUCUGACUCACUAUCAAUCCCCCUCACACUCAAUCCCGUUCACCCACUAUUUCUCUCCCUUCCAAUUCAAGACCCUUUUGAUUCUUCCUCACCUUUCCAAUUCAAGACUUCUUGAAGUUCUCUUCUCUUUCGUUCUUAAAGCAGUUGGCGGACUCGGCGCUCACCUUCUUCACCCUCUCCAGGACUUCGACUUCGUCCAGUUCAGUCGGCACUCGGCAGUCGUAUUCGAUUCUCCAAAUCUCCAGUUCGUCGCCUCCUCCUCGGCUUCUCCACUUUUGGUUCUGCAGAUCAAGAAAUCACCAGCAAUUUGGGGCAAUGAUUCAAUGAAUUCAAUACAUCACCAGCAAUUUGGGGCAAUGAUUCAAUGAAUUCAAUAAUUCAAUGUAAGAUUUGUUUAAUUCAAUGAAUCUCUCCGUCUUCUUGGUUCUGCAAAUCAGCAAAUCUGCAAUUUGAAGUUUAAUUGAUGAAUUUGAAGUUUAAUCUCUCCGUCUUCUCUACUCUGAAAGGCUGAGAAAUCUCAACUUAGGAUGCCCUGCCGGUUGCUGGUAUAACUUUUUCAAUUGAGGUGAUGAUCUUGAUGUGUCUGAUGCUUAGAGGAGUUGGCAGCGAUAUUAGCUAGGUUGAGGACUAGCAAAAGAAAGAUCAAAAGGCCAAUAAAGUACAUUAACUACCGGGACUAUACACGGUAAUUAAUAGUAGUGUUAUACUUGUGCUUCUUACAUGUUACGGAAACGAGCUCUUUAUGAUCAGUAAGUGGCUUGUGCUUAAACCCCUUCCAUCUUAUGGUACGAGAAGAGAUGCAGCAGCUGGUAUGGAAGGUACUCCACUUUCAUAAUUGGAACAAAACUCACUGACACUACUGAUCACUUAAAUGCUUUUUGUCUCUGUGUUUGACACAACAAACAUUCUAGUAGUGUUAGAUCGUUGAAUCUAGUGGACUUUUUCGAUUUCCAUGGCGGAUUCAAAUUCAGUUAAAGCCAGCCUUUGAUCUUUCUGCUUAUUCCUUCUCUAGCCUCCCACGCCACCUUCUCUAACCUUGGACAUUUUCAGCAAGUGGGAGAGAAGAAGUAAAGCAGCAUAUUCCCAGGAGGAUAUCGAUGUGGUCAGAACUGAGUGGGCAAAGUUUGUGGUUAAAACAUAUAUGUAAGAUUUGUGUUGGUACUUCUUGGAGACCUAGUUCAAAGUUUGUGGUUAUGUUUUGGUUGGACAGGAUCAGUAGCUAGCUAGUACUUUGAAUUGAUAUGUAAGAAAUACUUUAACAAUUGGGUACUCUUUCUAGUUUCGGUGUGUUUUGGCAAUGUAUGACAAUGAUGUGCUAUAGUAAAUGACAUUUGAACUAAUUUGUGUUUCA